AUGGCCGGCGCUGCUGAUGCAGGGGUUUGUGGAGUUUGUUUCAACCAUUGCAAGUAUGAGAGCAAGGGAAGCGGUUUCAGCAUGCUUGCAUGGGAGGAGUUCAAGAAUGCAGGGGUUGUGCCUUGCAAUGAAAGGGCCCGUUUCAACAAUGCGACAAGAGAGAAGGUGACGUUUGUGGCAAACCAACGGGCAUACACUGUAAAGUGUUACAAGGGUCGCAGAAAGAGCGCUAUGUAUGGGAGAGGUUGGAGGAAGUUCUAUGAAGACAACAAUCUGGGCAAGGGUCAGAUGGUGGUGUUCUACCUGGAUGAACCUUCGCCUACGGCAUCUAUUUUGUGGUUCCAGGUGGGCAACGGCUCUGAAGAUGAACAGCCUAUGGAAGAGGGUGAUCCCAUUGAAGAUUCAGAUUUCAGGUAA
rnacentral:rRNA from 1 species